AGCAGCCGCGGUAAUUCCAGCUCCAAUAGCGUAUAUUAAAGUUGUUGCAGUUAAAAAGCUCGUAGUUGAAUUUCGGGAUUCAUCCGUUGGUCGGGCUUCACGGUCCGUACUGGUGUGAUGGGUUCCUACCUUCUGAAUAAUCGGCAUGCCAUUAAUUUGGUGCGCCGGGGAAGCAGAACUAUUACCUUGAAAAAAUUAGAGUGCUUAAAGCAGGCAAGUGCCUGAAUAGGUUAGCAUGGAAUAAUAAAAUAGGACGGCAUGGUUCUAUUUUGUUGGUUUCUAGGAUCACCGUAAUGAUUAAUAGGGAUAGUUGGGGGCAUUAGUAUUCAAUUGUCAGAGGUGAAAUUCUUGGAUUUAUUGAAGACUAACUUCUGCGAAAGCAUUUGCCAAGGAUGUUUUCAUUAAUCAAGAACGAAAGUUAGGGGAUCGAAAGACGAUCAGACCCUACGUCGUAGUCUUAAACCAUAAACUAUGCCGAACUAGGGAAUCGGACGAUGUUUUAAAUUUUUAAUGACUCGUU
rnacentral:rRNA from 1 species